rnacentral:rRNA from 1 species
UAGUAACGGCGAGUGAAGAGGGAAAAGCUCAAAUUUUGAAUCUGGUGUCUUUGACCCCCGAGUUGUAAUCUAGAGAAGUGUUUUCCGUGUUGGACCGUGUAUAAGUUCCCUGGAACGGGGCGUCAUAGAGGGUGAGAAUCCCGUAUAUGCCACGGACUACCAAUGCCCUGUGAUACACUCUCAACGAGUCGAGUUGUUUGGGAAUGCAGCUCAAAAUGGGUGGUAAAUUCCAUCUAAAGCUAAAUAUUGGCGAGAGACCGAUAGCGAACAAGUACCGUGAGGGAAAGAUGAAAAGCACUUUGGAAAGAGAGUGAAACAGUACGUGAAAUUGUUGAAAGGGAAGCGUUUGAAGUCAGUCACGUCUGUUGGAAUUCAGCCUGGCUUCUGCCUGGUGUACUUUCCGUCCGACGGGUCAGCAUCAAUUUUGAUCGAGGGAAAAAGACAUGAGGAAUGUGGCUGUCUUCGGGCAGUGUUAUAGACUCGUGUUGUAUGUCUCGGUUGGGGAUUGAAGGAACGCCAGCGCGCCUAUUGGCCCGGGGGUUCGCGCCCCUCGGUACGCGCUUAGGA